rnacentral:sRNA from 1 species
GAUACCAGGGGCAAAAGGUCUAAGCUCAUAUGAGCUUGCUCAUAAGUGGGCGCAAGACCUUGGGACCCGCCUCGAUAUGAGCAUGAAAGUGGGGUGAAUAUCCCACGAUAUGCGAAUAUUGAGGAGGAUUGUGGGAGUGCGUAGCACGUAGCAAUCCGUAGGUAUC